rnacentral:rRNA from 1 species
UACGUAGGGUGCGAGCGUUAAUCGGAAUUACUGGGCGUAAAGCGUGCGCAGGCGGUUUUGUAAGCCAGGUGUGAAAUCCCCGGGCUCAACCUGGGAAUGGCAUUUGGGACUGCAAGGCUGGAGUGCGGCAGAGGAGACUGGAAUUCCUGGUGUAGCAGUGAAAUGCGUAGAUAUCAGGAGGAACACCGAUGGCGAAGGCAGGUCUCUGGGCUGACACUGACGCUCAUGCACGAAAGCGUGGGGAGCGAAACAAGGAUU